ACAAUCUGAAAAAAAAAAAAGAAUAAAAAAUAUGGCGGGGUGACAAGAGCUCUGCCUACAGUAAAGGACAUGCUGUACUGCGAGCAGCACGCCGUGGUUUCAAGUGGAUCAUAAGGAAACCUCAUUUUCAGAAAGCAUAUUUACACAGUGGCAGCUGCAUGCGAUAAGAGCGUAGCAACAAAUUUCUGCAGUAGGAGAAAACAGUCAGUGAUUGAGCACUUACUAAGGUGCGAGGCGAAUUCUGGCAUUUGGUUUACCAGAUGUGUGUCUUUGGACAACAGUGGAUUUAGUGAAGUUUUCAGACCCAGGGAUACAUAGGGGAAAAGGCAGAAUGACCCUGUGGAUAAGCUGUAGCUAUUUAGCUACUGCAGUGAGCAAGGUGGCAGUGAUUCCCUGGACCACAUACCGCUGGCGCCUCAAUGGGACACUAGAUGGCGCCAAGGUCCGUGAAGAAGGGCUCAGCUGCAGAAGCACCGGCUGCUGGCCCGGCUCGCACCUCUGAGGCGCAGAACAGGAAGACAGGGGCAUUUACAUGAUGACUCACGUCAGAUGCAGAAAAAAGCUCCUUGGAAGACCGGAAACACUCAGCAUAGAUCAGAAAUGACACGCCGUGGUGAGGUCAGAGGAGGGAAACCUCGUCAGAGCCACAGCGUCACCCGUGUAGAGGAACCUUCCUGUGCCUGCCUACGAGGAAUCCCACUGCACACUGGGAGAGAAGAUUUGGCAAAGUAUGAAGAAGUCCUUUCUCAUAUGGUUUUGCUCUGGAGAAGAAAAUAAGAAUGACCACCCACAAGCAGAGAAUAAGGUCAAUGACUUUAUCUUCAGCUGCCUGUUGGGACAAGAACGUCUGGAGGUCUUUUUGUGAGUGUGUGAAUGUACUGGCACUAUUAUAUUUACCCCAUACAGCCACCUGCAUUUUUUGUUGUUUCUCAAGAAGUAUGAAACAGUGGAAUUAUGUAGGAAAAUUACAAACUUCAAGGUCAUAAAUAUUUAUUGCUUGUCCAGUAGGGAUGGUGAAGAAAACAAAGAAGAGAUAAAUGGAAGAGAUCCAAAAGGAGAUGGGGAAGGGAUAAGAGAGAGAAGAAGACUGUGGGCCAGGCAGGAGGGAAGUCAGCCAGCCUGGGCCAGGUGUGGAGAUGGAAAACCAGCCACAGCCCUGGGGUAGGCCCUGAGCACCGGGAGGUUGGCAGUUUAACAAAGGAAAGCCAAAUAGCAUCUGAAAUGGAAAACUGGUCAUGGUUUUUACAAUUCUAUCCAGUGUAGGGUGAAAGGGGGAAAUAGAUGAACAAAGAGGAGACAUAAAACUGUCCAUGUGACACGAAGAUCUUUAAAUAAAAAAUUUCACAUUUCUCAGG